rfam:Strongyloides stercoralis strain PV0001 genome assembly, scaffold: SSTP_contig0000002
CUAACGGCCUUCUUUAAGGCCACCAUAAUAUAAUUACUUUAUUAA